GCUCCCGAUCCAACUCCCUCCCGAGAAAAUUCAUCCCCUCCGGCCUUGACUCGGCCUCCUCUCCUAUGCCACUCGCCUUCUCCACAGCCGCCCGCCCACAGGUUGUCCGCCGCCGCUUCGAGGGCUAGCAUCCCCGCGUCCCUCCUUCGUUCCAGUACCCGAUUGGACUGCACGAGUGCCCCCACCGCACCAUCAGGGGGCACCGCGGGAGUACAGCCACCGCACCACCAGGGCACUACCACCGCGUGUGCCGGCGAUGCGUGAGCCGCCGCUUGUGCGGCACCGAUUGCCGCUUCCAACGAUGCAGGAGCCACUCAAUCCAGCGAGGAUGCUGGGCGCUGUCACCACUGAUUCUCAGGGUGUGCGUGCCGCAUCCGAAACUCCCCUAAUGUGCUCCUCCACUCCGCUUAUAACAUGUCGUUCAUCCAUGGCUCUCUGUUGCUAUGCGCCGUUGAGCUCUGGAGCCACUGCCGUCGAAGCCCAUCGCCAGCCGUCCUCGGGUGGGCCGACGCCCAAACUCGGCUCCAGUGACAUCCCCGCUAGAGGUCCUCCUCCACCUCUUCUUCUAUUAGAGGUGUUGUCAAGAAUUUCAUCGCACCCACUGCUUUCCCUCCGAGGUAGUUGCCGCCUGCAGCCAUGCACAAGUGUCAUCACCUGCAUCUCCUCUGUGUGUUCCCGUCUCUCCAUGCCGCACGAGGAUGCAGUCAUCACAUCUGUGAGUAGUGAUGUUAACCCCAUAAAAAGGACCGCAGGUGGACAUCUGCUAUAAAUAAUCAGGUACUUCUUUCUCAUUAUCAAAGUGAAAUGCUCAGUGAAACUAUCCAAUGGAUGGACUGGUUAUUUAACACUGAAUGAUCAGAGCUUUAUUCUCUUCUUUUCUCCUCUUCCAUCCACUAAAACAUCUGCAUUGCAUGCUUCUUACUUCUCUGAGUGCUUAAACAUAAAUAAGAAAACCGAAUUCUCUAUGGGCAUGAAUAAUCUUUCGAUUCAAACAGAAAAAUCAAAAUGUGGUUCCAGUUCCGGGAGGUAUGGCGUGGUUUCUUUGCCGGCAUGUGCAUGUGUUGUUUGUCUGUUGCCGGGUGGAUUGCACAGUGGUGGUGCCGGGAGCCAGGGGUCAUCAGAGAAGAGAGAUGCUGACGUCACUCAAAACGAGCCUUGCUUGGCAUUGACUGAAUCCUCCACACAUUAUUUGUUGGCAAUUGAGCCUUGCUUGGCACGUGCUUGGCAUUGACUGAAUCAUACAGUGGCGAGCUUGUAUCCCGGCCAACCUCUUCAUCUUGAUUUUUUAGAAGCUAACUCACUUCAAAAGGAGGCCUGGAUUACCUUAUAUUCAGCAUUGAUCACACAGACUAGAUUUUUUUAAGAUGGAAAAGUCUGACAAUUGAAAACCUAUCCGAGAAUCAUGCUUGUUUGUGUGCUGCAAUUUGCACCUAGAGAGGUCUCCUGCCAUAUACGCUCGCCGAGAUCUUUGUCGUAGUCAUUAGGACGCGGGAUGGCAUUGUCGGGAUACACGCUCGCCAAGGUCUCCUGCCAUAUAGGCCCGUGAGAGAUCCAGGGCGUGUUACUCUGCAGCAUCAUGACCACAAUGGUGCCUUGGUUUUGAAAAUACAAUUUGAAUGGCAUCACAACAUUUAAUAGACAUUUUUUUUUCAACAGUUGCUUUAUUUUUUAUACCGUGUGAAUCUCCCUUGGUUAACGCUUGAGACGUGUGUUACACAUGAUUAAUUUUUCGCGACUUAUUGUUGUUGCUGUUGCCCGUGAGGUACUUGAAAAAAUUCUCGGCAUGUGGCGCUCUUCAAUGACGUGUUCUCUUUUGAAGAGCAAGCAGACAAAGCAUGAGAGCGCUAUGAUCCUACAAAUUCUUGACUGCUUCUAUACCCGUGUAUUUGUUUUAUCUUUUAUUUUUGACUUAUUUUAUUCUCUUGAGUACUCCCUCCGUUCCGAAUUACUUGUCUUAGAUUUGUCUAGAUACGGAGGUAUCUAGCACUAAAAUGAGUCUAGAUACAUCCGUAUCUAGACAAAUCCAAGACAAGUAAUUCGGAACGGAGGGAGUACUACAUAAGAGGUGUCUUUGCAGAGCUUAAGAACGAUUUAUGGGUUGGAGCACACUAAUACUGUAUUGAAAAGGGAUAGACAGCCAACCAGGUAUGCAGUUAUACGCCUUUUGUUCCAUGUGGUUAUCAAAGUAAUUGAUGCCAUUUAUUACCGUAAUCCUAUCACAUGAUAUAUUCUUAACAAAGGAUUUGAUGCCAUAUUUUUUACCUUAAUCCUAUAAUAAGACAGUCUUAUUUUCUGGUCAUGGAAUGAGAGCUUGCAGCUUAUACAUGAUGUCUUGCAAGCCUUGCAAUUUUUAUGGACAUUUUUUAUAAGUGGUUGGAAUUUUUACUGACAUGUUCUCAAGAUAUUCAUAUUGCGCUCUUGCUGCCUCUUGAUUUUAUAUGUUUAGAGUAAUGCCCAUCCAUCAUGUUAAAGGAAUUUCUCUGGUGCUAAAUCAAUCCCAAAUAAAUGUUACCAAUGUGUAAAAAAAAUCUGAUUAUGUUCUUUUAAGUUUCUUUUGAAUAUGAUUGUUAUCCCCAUUUCUAGACUGUUGACACUGCCCUAUUACAUGUACAGUGGUAGACUUCCCUUUUUGAUUGACUCUGGAUCUAAAGAAGUAUAAGCAUGUAGAGGAACUGGUGGUCCACCUUGCUACUCCAAAUGGACAGCCUGAUUUUAUCCAUGUGUUGGACUAAAUGAUAUUUGAUGAUUUGAGCCUUGCACCGGUAGGGUUUCCACAACACUAGGUAUGAUCUAAACAAUGGCUGAAAAUAUUUAUUGGAGCAUUUGUUUCAAACAAAUUUGUUGAAAGACAUUUCAAAUAUUUUAGUGCUUGUGAUAUAUUUUA